rnacentral:rRNA from 1 species
CCACGGACCGCGACCCCAGU